GGAGGUAUAGCUCAGUGGUGGAUUGCGUGCUUAGUAUGCACAAGGUCCUGGGUUCAAUCCCCAGUACCUCCA
rnacentral:tRNA from 1 species